CAGUAAACAAACCUCUAAAAAGGAGCACCUUUGAUAACGCCACACCUGAACGACGCACAAUCGGAUAAUCCCACUUGACCAAAUCUAACUCGUUCUACUUAUCGGGAGAUAAAUAUAUGUGCCAAAUGAGUUAGUACGAAGUUGCUGUAAUCACCAUGUAUAUUAAAACACUGUUGAUUACUCUUCUUUUGGUUCAUGCUGUUUUGGCAAGACUGAGAUGUUACAAGUGCAACAGUUCAAAGGGCCACACUAACUGCCAAAGUGGAUCGGGAGUUUAUAAUGGUACAUGUCCAGAACCACCCCAGGAUGUAGGGCAAACUUGCCUUGAAUAUUCGGAAAAUGUGAACGGUGCGACUAAAUAUGUAAGAAAAUGCGCCAUUGUGUUUUGGGACUGGGUCGAUAAGAAGUUCAUUCCAGUUUGCUCUUCUAUGAAAAAGGAAGGUCGAGACAUUCUCACGUGUUUUACAUGCACAACAGAUCAUUGUAACGGAACCCACCUUUAAAGAGGGUCAGUUGGCCAAUUUUUAGUGUGAAAAAAUUGUAAAUUUAGGAUUUAAAUACAAUUUUCUGAUACAACUUUAA